rnacentral:rRNA from 1 species
CGUGUCGUGAGAUGUUGGGUUAAGUCCCGUAACGAGCGCAACCCUUGUCCUUAGUUACCAGCACGUAAUGGUGGGCACUCUAAGGAGACUGCCGGUGACAAACCGGAGGAAGGUGGGGAUGACGUCAAGUCAUCAUGGCCCUUACGGCCUGGGCUACACACGUGCUACAAUGGUCGGUACAGAGGGUUGCCAAGCCGCGAGGUGGAGCUAAUCCCAGAAAACCGAUCGUAGUCCGGAUCGCAGUCUGCAACUCGACUGCGUGAAGUCGGAAUCGCUAGUAAUCGCGAAUCAGAAUGUCGCGGUGAAUACGUUCCCGGGCCUU